AUAACUUUUUCAAAAACAGGGGAUUUGAUGCAGAUGAUCAUCAUGGCUUGGAGAAACAAUGAAGGAAGCAAAGUAUGCCAUCUAUGCUGCGGGAGGUAACUCCAGAAGACCCCAGAGAGUGAGCAAUGACAGAGUCAGGGGUGGGGGUUUAUGGGGGAGUGGUGCUGAGGUGGAAGCUAAAACAGGUUUCAGGGAGGAAAUGACCCUUAAACUGAAUUUUGAAUAAUAUUGGCCUUUCUUCAGGUGAAUAGGGAGGGAAGGUUUAAAAGAAUCUACUCAGAACUGAAGGAGCCAAGACUCUGUGGGUGCAUUUGAAACAACCUGGCAUUUUUGGGAAACUGCCAGGAGUUCCACAAGGCUGAAGAGCAGCCUGAGAAGGGAGAAGGUGAGCAGUAAUGGCUGAAAAGUUUAUGUAACCAACCAACAGGCUCAUUUUACCUGCUGCCCAGAUACAGCCUGGUUUCAAUUGAAUAGGAUCCAAAUCUCAAAUGGCUUUCUAUCCCAUAGGAACGAGUUUGGACUUUUAACUGAGGGCCAUUGGAAACUACUGAAGAGUUUUAGGCAGCAUAAGAACUACUAGAUUUUCAUUGUGGGAGGAUCCUCAGCAGCAGCCUCAGAAAGGAGAUUGGGGAAGGAGAUCCCUAGUCAGGGAGACCAAGAAGACUACUGGAAAAAAACAGGGGGAAUCCUCAAGGACCUGCAAACAAGAAACCAAAUCCCCCCACUCCCCCCAGCCAAAAUGUGUUCAUUUUGACCAGCUGUGUGUGUGUUUUAAAUUAAAAGUUUGAAUUAGAAAGCAAGUAGGA
rnacentral:lncRNA from 10 species